rnacentral:rRNA from 1 species
CAGUAGCCGCGGGAAAACGGAGGGUGCAAGCGUUAAUCGGAAUUACUGGGCGUAAAGCGCACGCAGGCGGUCUGACAAGUCAGAUGUGAAAUCCCCGGGCUUAACCUGGGAACUGCAUUUGAAACUGUCAGGCUGGAGUCUUGUAGAGGGGGGUGGAAUUCCAGGUGUAGCGGUGAAAUGCGUAGAGAUCUGGAGGCAUACCGGUGGCGAAGGCGGCCCCCUGGACAAAGACUGACGCUCAGGUGCGAAAGCGUGGGGAGCAAACAGGAUUAGAUACCCCGGUAGUCCCUGUCUCUUAUAC